rnacentral:misc_RNA from 1 species
UCCGUGUUCACCACGGCAGUCUCCCUAGAGUGCCCAACUGAAUGCUGGCAACUAAGGACAAGGGUUGCGCUCGUUGCGGGACUUAACCCAACAUGUCACCACACGAGCUGACGACAGCCAUGCAGCACCUGUCUCUCUGUCUGGUUGCCCAGAAUACCGUAUCUCUACGGCUAUCAGAGGAUGUCAAAUCCAGGUAAGGUUCUUCGCGUUGCUUCGAAUUAAACCACAUGAUCCACCGCUUGUGCGGGCCCCCGUCAAUUCCUUUGAGUUUUAGUCUUGCGACCGUACUUCCCAGGCGGGGUACUUAGUGCGUUAGCGCCGAUUCAGCGGGGGUCAAAUCCCACCAAAUCUAGUACCCAUCGUUUACAGCGUGGACUAC